rnacentral:rRNA from 1 species
UGGGGAAUAUUGGACAAUGGGCGAAAGCCUGAUCCAGCCAUGCCGCGUGUGUGAAGAAGGCCUUUUGGUUGUAAAGCACUUUAAGCGAGGAGGAGGCUACUUGGAUUAAUACUCUAGGAUAGUGGACGUUACUCGCAGAAUAAGCACCGUCUAACUCUGUGCCAGCAGCCGCGGUAAUACAGAGGGUGCGAGCGUUAAUCGGAUUUACUGUGCGUAAAGCGUGCGUAGGCGGCUUUUUAAGUCGGAUGUGAAAUCCCUGAGCUUAACUUAGGAAUUGCAUUCGAUACUGGGAAGCUAGAGUAUGGGAGAGGAUGGUAGAAUUCCAGGUGUAGCGGUGAAAUGCGUAGAGAUCUGGAGGAAUACCGAUGGCGAAGGCAGCCAUCUGGCAUAAAACUGACGCUGAGGUACGAAAGCAUGGGGAGCAAACAGG